AGGCUGAGGGCAACGCAGCGUCAGUCUCGACUGAAGCGGCGUGCUGUGUGUUAAAAGCGGCAGGUGCAAAAGCAACAAGAAAGCUGCGUCGGCUAAUUGUAUAGCAUACUUUUUGGCGCGAGCAUAAAAUAAAAUACGUUGUGGCGAGUAUCGCCCGUAACUGAAGUUGAAUGAAUAAGAAAUGUGAAAUGUGACAGACACAAUGACAGUUUAACAUUUGCAACAACUACAACUACAGCAACAACAGAACAAACAGCUUAAAGAAGGAAAGACACAAAAACAAGAAAAAUAAAACCAAAGCAGACGGUACAAGUUGUCCUGUUACUCGUCCUGCCUCGUCCUGUUGGCCCCAGGAGACAUUUAACAUAAUAAAAACGAACGUGUGCGGCAUUCGUUGCUGUUUUUGCCAAGUUUUUGUAACACUCUCUCUCGGUGUGUGUUCGUGUGUGUGUUGGUUUUGUUUAAUGCUAAUAACACACAGAUACACACGCACACUUAUACAGUGGCAAACGCACAGUUAGUAGAAACAAUAUUGCAAAUGUGUGCGGCAAAGCAGUUGAAAAAAGUGUCGUAAAUCGUUUAGACGGCAAACGUGGCAAGCGCCCAGGACACGGACAUGGACACAAACGCAGAUUGUAGGAUCCGCAGGACGAUAUGUAAACGACAAUGCCACCGUGGGAAAAACAAAAAAAAAAUACAUAAGCAACUGCGAAAGGAGCAACAGCAGCGCCGCAGGAUGCUGUCGUUUGAUAGCGAGUCCUUUGCUCAUUUCAUGUUGAAAAACUUUUAAACACCAAAUGUAGACUGAAAAAUGUGUGGAGCUUGUAAGAAGCCUUUAAAAUGAUUGAAGAGAAUGUUUAACAAAUAAGUGAACAAAUUAAAUUAAAAUGCGUUCUCGAGUUGGAAAUCUUUUUUGGAUGCAAGGCCUCUUCAAAUAUAUUGUUAUUUAUUUCUUGAAAAAUUGUUAUAUGCCACAACAAUAAAUAUAAAAAUAUUGCUAUAAAUA